UGCUAUGACGAAAUCAUUAGAAGGAAGUUCUGGCAGAAGUAAUAAUUGAUCCUAAGUACUUCUGGCUGACU